rnacentral:snRNA from 1 species
CCAACAUACAAAACCUCAUUAGCU